UGAGGCCCAGCGGCGUGCGUG
rnacentral:misc_RNA from 1 species